UUUGUGGCGUUCGCCUCCCGUGCUCUUGGGACAAAGUAACUACAACACAGCAAUGCAAACAAUCACAAGUGCAUUUAUUGCAGCUUUCCUACACCAAUGCUAGCUGGCUGAAUCACAACCAAUAGAACAUGCCGAUGGGCGCUGACGAAUCUAGGAAGUUCGACUCACAGCGACAGGAUAGCAAG
rnacentral:lncRNA from 1 species